rnacentral:ncRNA from 1 species
AACCUCUGGAGAGAACCGUUAAAUCGGUCGCCGAAGGAGCAAGCUUAGUAUCCGCAGCUUACCAAAAUGCUCAUUACUAAGUGAAACUCUCAGGCAAAAGGACAGAGGAGU